UACGUAGGGUGCGAGCGUUAAUCGGAAUUACUGGGCGUAAAGCGUGCGCAGGCGGUUCGUUGUGUCGGCGGUGAAAGCCCCGGGCUCAACCUGGGAAUGGCCGUUGAAACUGGCGAACUGGAGUGUGGCAGAGGGGGGUGGAAUUCCGCGUGUAGCAGUGAAAUGCGUAGAGAUCGGGAGGAACACCAGUGGCGAAGGCGGCUACCUGGACCAGCACUGACACUGAAGCACGAAAGCGUGGGGAGCAAACAGG
rnacentral:rRNA from 1 species